ensembl:snRNA U4 U4 spliceosomal RNA
AGUUUUGUGGAGUGGCAGUCUCAUAGCCAGUGGGGUCUCUCUGAGGCAGGAUCAUUGCUAAUUGAAAACUUUUCCAACAGAA